rnacentral:lncRNA from 1 species
GGGGUGUCAAACUUCUCGCCUCCCAUAAAGAAGUGGCUUGCAAAGUAGUUUCCGGACUUGGGCGGGUAGCGGUAGGCCGAGUUGGCCUGGAUGUCGAUGUCCUCCACGCCCGCGAUGCGCCGGCUGAGCAGAGAGCCCAUGGCGGCGGCGGCCCGGGGGCGGCACGGUAACGCGGCGGCGAGCGGCCCGCACCCGCACUCACGGCGGCGGCGGCGGCGGC